rnacentral:rRNA from 1 species
UGGCGGCGUGCCUAACACAUGCAAGUCGAGCGGGACGAGUACGACGGAGAGGAAGUUUCGGAUGGAAUCGAAGAUGUAUGUUCUAGCGGCGGACGGGUGAGUAACGCGUGAGCAACCGUGUCCUUCGACAGGGGGAUAACACAGCGAAAGUUGUACUAAUACCGCAUAAGACCACGGCAGGACAUCCUGCAAGGGGUCAAAGGAGCAAUCCGGUGAAGGGUGGGCUCGCGUCCGAUUAGAUAGUUGGUGAGGUAACGGCCCACCAAGUCAACGAUCGGUAGCCGACCUGAGAGGGUGAUCGGCCACAUUGGGACUGAGACACGGCCCAAACUCCUACGGGAGGCAGCAGUGGGGAAUAUUGGGCAAUGGGGGGAACCCUGACCCAGCAACGCCGCGUGAGGGAAGAAGGUUUUCGGAUCGUAAACCUCUGUCCUUGGUGAAGAGGAAGAGACGGUAGCCAAGGAGGAAGCCCCGGCUAACUACGUGCCAGCCGCCGC